ensembl:antisense Gm13707 predicted gene 13707
UUGGAUGCCAGGCUUUCUAGGUAGCGCUCUCUCUUUGUGACGCUCUCAGCUACUGUUCCAGCACCAUGCCUGCCUGCCUGCUGCCAUGCUGCCUACCAUGAUGGUCAUGGACUCACCCUCUGACACUUGUUGGAUGGCGUGAAUGGGCGAGUAAGCAUAUAAGAGCUUCCUGCUGCUCUUGGGUCUUCUCACGUGGCCUGUUGCUGCUUUGUUCUGGGACUGGACUAUCAGAAGCAAACAACAUCUUGACGCAUGACGUUAACCUUACGUAAGACGAUCUCACCAGCCUUCUCGGUGCAGAGAAUUCUUCCCUCUCUACAGCCUGUGUACACUGUGGGAGUAGCAGAAUGAUAUACAGCCAACUGUUACUGAGCACCAGACUGCAGAUACAAUGUAACCAGCCUGCGGUGCUUCCUGUGCCACGAUGGACCAACCACAUCCUCCAGCCGCGGGUGUAGAGUGAUGACGGAGGAUGAUGGAGUUGGUUCCCUGCUGGUGCUCGCGUCCUAUAAAAGCCAAUCCCUUACGAGCUGAUUGCCUUCCAUUAAAUUUGGGGUCGCUGCAUUCAUGCUCGCCUCCUGCUGCACACGGCUUCCUUGC